UAUUUAAUAAGGUUUUCAAAUAUUUUAAUAGGUUUAUCUUCUGGAUUUCAAUUUAAAAAAUUUAGUUGUGUUAAAACUCUCUGAUUGGAAAAUGUUUUGCAUGAUGCUUGUUUCCUCACCCAAAAUUUCCGGACUUACAUUUUUAGCAGAACUACCAUAGAUUGCGCAAACUCCUCAUGCACGAUGUGUCUUUUCCGCUGGACUUCAGCAGGACUCAGUUGCGUACUGGAACUUAUACUCUGUUAUAAGAAAAUAAUUUCGUCUUGUACUUGUGUUGUGGUCUAUAGCACAAACUUAAAUAUUUCGUCUGCAUCAAAAAAAGAUAAUCAAGGUAUUUAGCAUGUUUCAUUAUUAAGUGUGAAAAAAUAUUAAAAUGUUUCAUUAAUAUUAAAAUCAUG